GGCUCGGUUGCUUAGUUGGUAAAGCGCUCGUCUAGCAUACAAGAGUCCUGGGUUCAAAUCCCAGCCGAGCAC
rnacentral:tRNA from 1 species